rnacentral:rRNA from 1 species
GUGCCUACGGGGCGCAGCAGUGGGGAAUAUUGCACAAUGGGGGAAACCCUGAUGCAGCGACGCCGCGUGAGUGAAGAAGUAUUUCGGUAUGUAAAGCUCUAUCAGCAGGGGAGAAGUUGACGGUACCUGAGUAAGAAGCCCCGGCUAACUACGUGCCAGCAGCCGCGGGAAUACGUAGGGGGCAAGCGUUAUCCGGAUUUACUGGGUGUAAAGGGAGGGUAGAAGACAGGGCAAGUCUGAAGUGAAAGCCCCGGGCUUAACCCGGGA